GACGAACCGAGCGAACGUUGUUCGGAAUCACUGGGCUUAAAGGGUGCGUAGGCGGGCUGCCAAGUUUGGGGUGAAAUCCUCCGACUCAACCGGGGAAGUGCCUUGAAUACUGGCGGUCUCGAGGGAGGUAGGGGCGUGCGGAACUAACGGUGGAGCGGUGAAAUGCGUUGAUAUCGUUAGGAACUCCGGUGGCGAAGGCGGCACGCUAGACCUCUUCUGACGCUGAGGCACGAAAGCCAGGGGAGCGAACGGG
rnacentral:rRNA from 1 species